AUGGGCCCGCGGUGCAUUAGCUAGUUGGUGAGGUAACGGCUCACCAAGGCAACGAUGCAUAGCCGACCUGAGAGGGUGAUCGGCCACACUGGGACUGAGACACGGCCCAGACUCCUACGGGAGGCAGCAGUAGGGAAUCUUCCGCAAUGGACGAAAGUCUGACGGAGCAACGCCGCGUGAGUGAUGAAGGCUUUCGGGUCGUAAAACUCUGUUGUUAGGGAAGAACAAGUACGAGAGUAACUGCUCGUACCUUGACGGUACCUAACCAGAAAGCCACGGCUAACUACGUGCCAGCAGCCGCGGUAAUACGUAGGUGGCAAGCGUUAUCCGGAAUUAUUGGGCGUAAAGCGCGCGCAGGCGGUUUCUUAAGUCUGAUGUGAAAGCCCACGGCUCAACCGUGGAGGGUCAUUGGAAACUGGGGAACUUGAGUGCAGAAGAGAAAAGCGGAAUUCCACGUGUAGCGGUGAAAUGCGUAGAGAUGUGGAGGAACACCAGUGGCGAAGGCGGCUUUUUGGUCUGUAACUGACGCUGAGGCGCGAAAGCGUGGGGAGCAAACAGGAUUAGAUACCUCUGGUAGUCCACGCCGUAAACGAUGAGUGCUAAGUGUUAGAGGGUUUCCGCCCUUUAGUGCUGCAGCUAACGCAUUAGCACUCCGCUGGGGGAGUACGGUCGCAGACUGAAACUCAAAGGGAAUUGACGGGGGCCCUGCACAAAGCGGGGUGUGG
rnacentral:rRNA from 2 species